rnacentral:rRNA from 1 species
AUGGCUUUCCCUAAAAACUUCUCACGAGCGAGCGCCCCAAUCUCCUUGAUUGCGCCAUCGGCUCCAUUGGGCGAGCAGACCAUCUCCAAUAAGUACCAUCUGAAGAGAUCAUAUAGAACUGAUUUAAAGUUCAAUCUUUUCUCAACAACAAGAAAGAAUCUGACACUACAACUUACGUCUUCAACUGAAGGUAUGAAAACACAAUCAAUUAGUUUUAAAUCAUGUCCUAAGCUCCCCUUGCAACUUCUCAAUGGUUAUUGUACAUCAACUUCAUAUCCUCAUUGCAAUCAUCUUAUUCUUAGAGUUCAAUCUUUUGUCAGCAACAACAACAGAAUUGGCAGUACAACCAAUGUCUUCAAUUCAUGGUAUGACAACACAAUCAAAUAG